rnacentral:lncRNA from 1 species
UGCGAGGCAAGGAAGGUUCAAAGCAGAAGCUGGUGCUGGCCUUGCCUCCCCCUGCCACGCCAGCCCUCCCUCUGCCCAGGCCUCUAUUAAGCACCCCCAGGGUGAAGGGGGUCUUCCUAGCUCUAAAGCACCAGCCACAGGCCCACCAGCCGGGCUGAGCCAGGGUCAAGACAGCAGAGCAGCUAAGGUCAGUGCCGGCUUCCUCAGCCUCAGCUCAAGGCUGGCAGCAGUGGGGGCCUCCCACGGCCAGAAGACAGGACCCAGCUUCACGACGCAUCCGCCUGGCAUGCGUGGAGCAGCGGCCGCCUGAUGGCAUUCGGGCUCCAUCCAGCUCCAGGACCACAGCCGAGGCAGGACAGACCCUAAGGUUCCGCUGAGCACCGCCAGGUCACCUGGUCCGCUCCUCGCCAACUCCCACCUGCUCUCAGCACACCCUGGCCCCUGACCCCAGCUGGGGUCUCAGGCCUCCUAUUUCCAGACAGCCUAGGGUUUCCAAAACACCCUGGAAGGGCCUCCUCAAUCUUGCUUCGCCACCGUCGCCACUGGGAGGCCCACCCAGAAAGCCAGGCGCUUCCCCAGGGGACUGGCCAGAGUCAGGAGCUCCAGUCACCCGGUGAUGGAGCCAGGCUUGGCCACUGGCUGGGACCUGGGCCUUCAGGAGCUUUGCCAGCUCGCAAAGGACUUUCCUCGACUAGAGCGCCCCCCACACUGGCCACACGACACAAUGCCAGCCAUGGGGCACCCCGAGCACUGAGAACUUAUGUGCAACACCAGGGUCCAGCCUCGCAGAGUCCGAAGCACGGUGACCACGCAGGGGGCUCCAUCCCGUCUCCUUCUGGGGGAAAACGAGGAGUGGACAGCACAAAAUGCCAAAGAGCCAGGUGGCUUCCGUGCUGGCUCAGCCGGGUGGGAGAGCGGCCCAGAGGACGGAGGCCUCGCUACGAGCCCGGGAGCACACUGUCCAGGGACCACCAAGGAGGGGGCGUGAGGGCCCAGGAAGAGGCCGGCUCCGGGAGGGCCAGGACCACAGUCUGUGCCUCCAGGCUGCAAGAGCCUGGCACCCACCCAGGGGCCCACCCGUGGGCUGGGGCCAGUCCUGAGAGAAGGGGGAGCAGAUUCCCCACACUGCCGCUUGGACGGGGGCCACAGGAAAGGGGGCGAGCAGAAAGAACCAGAAAGGCUCAAGGGACAGGGGGAGGGGAGGGAGACCCCCUUCCCUAAAGCCAAAGUUACUUGGUCAGAACAAGUGUGGCAAGCAGUUCCUGGCAGGGUGGGGUGUGAGGG